rnacentral:rRNA from 1 species
GACGGAGGAUGCAAGCGUUAUCCGGAAUUAUUGGGCGUAAAGCGUCCGCAGGUGGCUGUUCAAGUCUGCUGUCAAAGCGCAGAGCUUAACUCUGUACAGGCGGUGGAAACUGAAGAGCUAGAGUAUGGUAGGGGUAGAGGGAAUUCCCGGUGUAGAGGUGAAAUUCGUAGAUAUCGAGAGGAACACCGGUGGCGAAGGCGGCGAUCUGGACGAUGACUGACGCUGAGACGCGAAAGCGUGGGGAGCAAACAGG